UACGGAGGGUGCAAGCGUUGUUCGGAAUUACUGGGCGUAAAGCGCGCGUAGGCGGUUUUAUAAGUCAGAUGUGAAAGCCCAUGGCUCAACCAUGGACGUGCAUUUGAAACUGUGAGACUUGAGUAUCGGAGGGGGUGGUGGAAUUCCCGGUGUAGAGGUGAAAUUCGUAGAUAUCGGGAGGAAUACCGGUGGCGAAGGCGACCACCUGGCCGGAUACUGACGCUAAGGCGCGAAAGCGUGGGGAG
rnacentral:rRNA from 1 species